UAGAUUUGACAUUGAUUGAUCGCUGUAGAAAUACAGCUUUCCUUCGGGACAAGAAAAC
rnacentral:rRNA from 1 species